rnacentral:misc_RNA from 1 species
GGGCAUGCCUGUUCGAGCGUCAUUAAGUCCAUUAAGCCUAGUUGCUUAGCGUUGGGAGCAUUACCGUACGGUAACUCCUCAAAGUCAGUGGCAGGGUUACGGUACACUCUAAGCGUAGUAGAUUUCUUUCUCGCUUUUGCUGUGGCCGCGGCCGUUG